UGAUCCAUUCUUGUUUCUGCAUCACUAAGUCAUGAUCAUCUCCUUCUUGAUACCCUUGAGCAUCAUCCAUUCCUAUUGUACUCCUCAAAGACAGCUAAUUCUCGGUGGUUCUGAACCCUCCAGAGAAGAUGACAGACCUAGCUGUCAACAAAAUGUAGAAAGCGCAAUUCAGCAAUAGGACCCAUAAGAUGCAGAUUGAUGUUCAAAAUAAUGAGUAGCAUUGUGGCAGGCUCUCGGUGCAGUGAUUAAGAGCUCAUCGUGCCCCCAACCCCCCACCCCACCCACUCUUUGGACGUUUCCCCUAGGGUCAAUGGCUGAGCUGGUUAAUUUUCACACCUAGGGCUACCAUCAAAGUACACCAACACCUUGUCAAAUACCACUCCCACACGGCCACACCGGGUCUAAUACAGAUAGAUAACAAAACUAGCUCAUAAAUGCAUAAGUUUAGAAGAUAUCUCAAUUCCAUGCUUAAAUCCACAGCAUGCUUGAUGAAAACAUGGAAGUGGUAAAACAAUGCCUAAUUAAUGAAGGUUUCGGUUCGCCACUUCGCCAUCGCCUCUCAUAUCUUCAUCAAAAAUAGAAUUUAUGUCUUGGUCCUCUUCACUCUGCAAGUGACAUGAGAUUUCUCGAUUGGGGAAUUUAACAUUGAAAUAAAGAUUAGGGUUCGGGAAUUUACCUUGCCGCUCUCUGGGGACUGAACUUGGGCCUGGCUUGCUGUUGCUAUCGGCUUGUCGCGACCGCGUGCCGGCUACCGGCCGCGGGCGACCACCCUGCUGCUGUGUGCGCGUGCUGACAGCAGCUAGCGGCCGGCGGCCCGGCUGCACGCCUACAACUUGAGUACUUGACGACCAGCAGUAGCCCGGCCGCGAGCGGGGGGACGACUGACUGCUCAGAUUAGAUGCUUCACCGCAAGAUCCCUUGUCCGAUGUAACGGCGACUAUGGAGCCGGGAGCCCGGGACAAGAAAGAAGAGCGAGAGAGGCG
rnacentral:lncRNA from 1 species